GGAAAUAGCUCAAUGGUAGAGCCCAUGCUUAGCAUGCAUGAGGUCCUAGGUUCAAUCCCCAAGACCUCCA
rnacentral:tRNA from 1 species